GGGAAUGUGGCGGAAUUGGUAGACGCGGCGGACUCAAAAUCCGCUGGGGCGACCCUUGAGAGUUCGAUUCUCUCCAUUCCUACCA
rnacentral:tRNA from 1 species